GAUGAACGCUAGCUACAGGCUUAACACAUGCAAGUCGAGGGGCAGCAUGAACAAAGCUUGCUUUGUUUGAUGGCGACCGGCGCACGGGUGCGUAACACGUAUCCAAUCUGCCCGCGGCUCGGGGAUAGCCCAUCGAAAGAUGGAUUAAUACCCGAUGGUGUGGUUUCUCCGCAUGGGGUUUCCACUAAAGGUUUUCCGGCCGCGGAUGAGGAUGCGUAUGAUUAGGUAGUAGGCGGGGUAACGGCCCACCUAGCCUUCGAUCAUUAGGGGUUCUGAGAGGAAGGUCCCCCANACUGGAACUGAGACACGGUCCAUACUCCUACGGGAGGCAGCAGUGAGGAAUAUUGGUCAAUGGGCGAGAGCCUGAACCAGCCAAGUAGCGUGAAGGAAGACUGCCCUAUGGGUUGUAAACUUCUUUUGUUCGGGAAUAAAGUGCAGUACGCGUACUGUUUUGUAUGUACCGUUCGAAUAGGCAUCGGCUAAUUCCGUG
rnacentral:rRNA from 1 species